CUGGGGAAAGCAGGAUGGAGCUCUGUACCAGCUCGCCAUUGAUCCUGAGGGCGAGCGUGCUGGGAUCCUGGGGCGAGGACCUCUCCUGGAGGAUAAUGAGAGCCUUCAAAACUGUACGCAGACCAGGAGCAGGUGACUGGGAGGUGACU